GGUUAAGCGACUAAGCGUACACGGUGGAUGCCCUGGCAGUCAGAGGCGAUGAAGGACGUGCUAAUCUGCGAUAAGCGUCGGUAAGGUGAUAUGAACCGUUAUAACCGGCGAUUUCCGAAUGGGGAAACCCAGUGUGUUUCGACACACUAUCAUUAACUGAAUCCAUAGGUUAAUGAGGCGAACCGGGGGAACUGAAACAUCUAAGUACCCCGAGGAAAAGAAAUCAACCGAGAUUCCCCCAGUAGCGGCGAGCGAACGGGGAGCAGCCCAGAGCCUGAAUCAGUGUGUGUGUUAGUGGAAGCGUCUGGAAAGGCGCGCGAUACAGGGUGACAGCCCCGUACACAAAAAUGCACAUGCUGUGAGCUCGAUGAGUAGGGCGGGACACGUGGUAUCCUGUCUGAAUAUGGGGGACCAUCCUCCAAGGCUAAAUACUCCUGACUGACCGAUAGUGAACCAGUACCGUGAGGGAAAGGCGAAAAGAACCCCGGCGAGGGGAGUGAAAAAGAACCUGAAACCGUGUACGUACAAGCAGUGGGAGCACGCUUAGGCGUGUGACUGCGUACCUUUUGUAUAAUGGGUCAGCGACUUAUAUUCUGUAGCAAGGUUAACCGAAUAGGGGAGCCGAAGGGAAACCGAGUCUUAACUGGGCGUUAAGUUGCAGGGUAUAGACCCGAAACCCGGUGAUCUAGCCAUGGGCAGGUUGAAGGUUGGGUAACACUAACUGGAGGACCGAACCGACUAAUGUUGAAAAAUUAGCGGAUGACUUGUGGCUGGGGGUGAAAGGCCAAUCAAACCGGGAGAUAGCUGGUUCUCCCCGAAAGCUAUUUAGGUAGCGCCUCGUGAAUUCAUCUCCGGGGGUAGAGCACUGUUUCGGCAAGGGGGUCAUCCCGACUUACCAACCCGAUGCAAACUGCGAAUACCGGAGAAUGUUAUCACGGGAGACACACGGCGGGUGCUAACGUCCGUCGUGAAGAGGGAAACAACCCAGACCGCCAGCUAAGGUCCCAAAGUCAUGGUUAAGUGGGAAACGAUGUGGGAAGGCCCAGACAGCCAGGAUGUUGGCUUAGAAGCAGCCAUCAUUUAAAGAAAGCGUAAUAGCUCACUGGUCGAGUCGGCCUGCGCGGAAGAUGUAACGGGGCUAAACCAUGCACCGAAGCUGCGGCAGCGACGCUUAUGCGUUGUUGGGUAGGGGAGCGUUCUGUAAGCCUGCGAAGGUGUGCUGUGAGGCAUGCUGGAGGUAUCAGAAGUGCGAAUGCUGACAUAAGUAACGAUAAAGCGGGUGAAAAGCCCGCUCGCCGGAAGACCAAGGGUUCCUGUCCAACGUUAAUCGGGGCAGGGUGAGUCGACCCCUAAGGCGAGGCCGAAAGGCGUAGUCGAUGGGAAACAGGUUAAUAUUCCUGUACUUGGUGUUACUGCGAAGGGGGGACGGAGAAGGCUAUGUUGGCCGGGCGACGGUUGUCCCGGUUUAAGCGUGUAGGCUGGUUUUCCAGGCAAAUCCGGAAAAUCAAGGCUGAGGCGUGAUGACGAGGCACUACGGUGCUGAAGCAACAAAUGCCCUGCUUCCAGGAAAAGCCUCUAAGCAUCAGGUAACAUCAAAUCGUACCCCAAACCGACACAGGUGGUCAGGUAGAGAAUACCAAGGCGCUUGAGAGAACUCGGGUGAAGGAACUAGGCAAAAUGGUGCCGUAACUUCGGGAGAAGGCACGCUGAUAUGUAGGUGAGGUCCCUCGCGGAUGGAGCUGAAAUCAGUCGAAGAUACCAGCUGGCUGCAACUGUUUAUUAAAAACACAGCACUGUGCAAACACGAAAGUGGACGUAUACGGUGUGACGCCUGCCCGGUGCCGGAAGGUUAAUUGAUGGGGUUAGCGCAAGCGAAGCUCUUGAUCGAAGCCCCGGUAAACGGCGGCCGUAACUAUAACGGUCCUAAGGUAGCGAAAUUCCUUGUCGGGUAAGUUCCGACCUGCACGAAUGGCGUAAUGAUGGCCAGGCUGUCUCCACCCGAGACUCAGUGAAAUUGAACUCGCUGUGAAGAUGCAGUGUACCCGCGGCAAGACGGAAAGACCCCGUGAACCUUUACUAUAGCUUGACACUGAACAUUGAGCCUUGAUGUGUAGGAUAGGUGGGAGGCUUUGAAGUGUGGACGCCAGUCUGCAUGGAGCCGACCUUGAAAUACCACCCUUUAAUGUUUGAUGUUCUAACGUUGACCCGUAAUCCGGGUUGCGGACAGUGUCUGGUGGGUAGUUUGACUGGGGCGGUCUCCUCCUAAAGAGUAACGGAGGAGCACGAAGGUUGGCUAAUCCUGGUCGGACAUCAGGAGGUUAGUGCAAUGGCAUAAGCCAGCUUGACUGCGAGCGUGACGGCGCGAGCAGGUGCGAAAGCAGGUCAUAGUGAUCCGGUGGUUCUGAAUGGAAGGGCCAUCGCUCAACGGAUAAAAGGUACUCCGGGGAUAACAGGCUGAUACCGCCCAAGAGUUCAUAUCGACGGCGGUGUUUGGCACCUCGAUGUCGGCUCAUCACAUCCUGGGGCUGAAGUAGGUCCCAAGGGUAUGGCUGUUCGCCAUUUAAAGUGGUACGCGAGCUGGGUUUAGAACGUCGUGAGACAGUUCGGUCCCUAUCUGCCGUGGGCGCUGGAGAACUGAGGGGGGCUGCUCCUAGUACGAGAGGACCGGAGUGGACGCAUCACUGGUGUUCGGGUUGUCAUGCCAAUGGCACUGCCCGGUAGCUAAAUGCGGAAGAGAUAAGUGCUGAAAGCAUCUAAGCACGAAACUUGCCCCGAGAUGAGUUCUCCCUGACUCCUUGAGAGUCCUGAAGGAACGUUGAAGACGACGACGUUGAUAGGCCGGGUGUGUAAGCGCAGCGAUGCGUUGAGCUAACCGGUACUAAUGAACCGUGAGGCUUAACCUU
rnacentral:rRNA from 1 species